UACGAAGGGGGCUAGCGUUGCUCGGAAUCACUGGGCGUAAAGCGCACGUAGGCGGCUUCUUAAGUCAGGGGUGAAAUCCUGGAGCUCAACUCCAGAACUGCCUUUGAUACUGAGAAGCUUGAGUCCGGGAGAGGUGAGUGGAACUGCGAGUGUAGAGGUGAAAUUCGUAGAUAUUCGCAAGAACACCAGUGGCGAAGGCGGCUCACUGGCCCGGUACUGACGUUGAGGUGCGAAAGCGUGGGGAGCAAACAGG
rnacentral:rRNA from 1 species